UGGGGAAUAUUGGACAAUGGGCGCAAGCCUGAUCCAGCCAUGCCGCGUGAGUGAUGAAGGUCUUAGGAUUGUAAAGCUCUUUCACCGAUGAAGAUAAUGACGGUAGUCGGAGAAGAAGCCCCGGCUAACUUCGUGCCAGCAGCCGCGGUAAUACGAAGGGGGCUAGCGUUGUUCGGAAUUACUGGGCGUAAAGCGCACGUAGGCGGAUAUUUAAGUCAGGGGUGAAAUCCCGCAGCUCAACUGCGGAACUGCCUUUGAUACUGGGUAUCUUGAGUAUGGAAGAGGUUAGUGGAAUUGCGAGUGUAGAGGUGAAAUUCGUAGAUAUUCGCAGGAACACCAGUGGCGAAGGCGGCUGACUGGUCCAUUACUGACGCUGAGGUGCGAAAGCGUGGGGAGCAAACAGG
rnacentral:rRNA from 1 species